rnacentral:rRNA from 1 species
GUGGGGAAUUUUGGACAAUGGGCGCAAGCCUGAUCCAGCAAUGCCGCGUGCAGGAAGAAGGCCUUCGGGUUGUAAACUGCUUUUGUACGGAACGAAACGGCUCUGGUUAAUACCCGGGGCUAAUGACGGUACCGUAAGAAUAAGCACCGGCUAACUACGUGCCAGCAGCCGCGGUAAUACGUAGGGUGCAAGCGUUAAUCGGAAUUACUGGGCGUAAAGCGUGCGCAGGCGGUUUUGUAAGACAGGCGUGAAAUCCCCGGGCUCAACCUGGGAAUGGCGCUUGUGACUGCAAAGCUGGAGUGCGGCAGAGGGGGAUGGAAUUCCGCGUGUAGCGGUGAAAUGCGUAGAUAUGCGGAGGAACACCGAUGGCGAAGGCAAUCCCCUGGGCCUGCACUGACGCUCAUGCACGAAAGCGUGGGGAGCAAACAGGAUUAGAUACCCUGGUAGUCC